GCCUUCGUGGUGUAGUGGUCAGCACGCUCGACGCGUAAUCGAGAGGUCCGUGGUUCGAUUCUCGGCGAAGGCG
rnacentral:tRNA from 1 species